rnacentral:snoRNA from 1 species
AUUUAAUGAUGUGGAUAUUGUAUUUGUAACUCCCCAAAUCUUUACCAAGCUUCGAAGAAUUCCUCCGUAUGCUUUUGUCUAAAAGUUUGGAUCUUGUUUCUCAACU